rnacentral:lncRNA from 1 species
AAUGAUACUGAUCAAUGCAAAAGGUGAAGUCAUCACAGCGAGAUCAAAGGUUGAAACGCUUGUGGUAUAAUUGCUUAAGGAUUGGUAGCUGAUUCAGGUUUGGUGUCUUUGGAAGGGAAUGUGGACUUUGGUAACUCAGGCAAGUGGGGAAAAGUUGGCAGUUCAGGUUUUGGCAACUCAGGCAAGUGGGGAAAAGCUGGCAGUUCAGGCUUUGGAAACUCAGGCAAUUCAGGUUUUGGCAGCGUGGGAAUUUCAGGCUUCGACAACUCAGGCAAUUCAGGUAAUUUUGGCAGAGUGGGAAGUUCAGGUUUAGGAAAGGUUGGGACUUCAGGUAAUGGUGGAAGCUCAACCUUAGGAAGUAAUGGCAAGUCAGGCAAUUCAGGCUUAGGAAGCUCCGGGACCUCAGGUAAUGUUGUCUCUAGAAGCUGUCGUGCUUCUGCAGAGAUUGACAGAGCAACGAGUGAGAGCAGAACAAUGAGUGAAGGGGAGCGAAGAUUGGCCAUAACUAUGCAACAAGAUCAAUCAGCUGUAAAUACAAUUUAUCCUCACUUUUGUUUUGUGUGUGUUGAUGUUCACUUGUGUUGAGCUUUUAUAGAAGUGGGAAGUGAAGAAUGGGGAACUUCCAAAGGUGAUUUAGUGGGAAAAGUUGUGUUAGCUCAACUUCCCACCCAUAAGACUCCCACUGUUGGCAUGACCAACUAUAGACUUCCUUACAAGUGUAACCUUGCUAUCUUUCUAUAUGGAGUCCAGAGAUUGGUUAGAUUGAUAAUAAGCUAAAAUAUGGUUCUCACUUGUAAUCAUUCUCAGAAAUCAGAACACUUGUGAAGUUCAAGCUUUUUCACCUAUUUAAUAAUUCACUUCUUUCCUGUUCUACCUACAAAAGAUGAGAUUCUGAAGAAUGGUUCUUCUUUAGUUACUUUAAAAUAAUGUUCAACGAAGAUAGCCUCAUCUGCAAAGUUGGCCAACCUACACACUAAACUUUGACAUGUCUUUCUUUUUAUUGAAGCUCUGACUGAUCUUCACAUCACAUCCAAUUAUCCACAAGGUACUCUUCUAUUUGAAAUUAAGAAUUUUAUUAAAAAUUAAUUCAAUUGAUUUCUUUUAUAUCAAUCUCUUGGUUGGAAUGAGAUUCAAUUUUUUUGACUUAUAAAAUUUUCAUAUUAAAAAAAUUGAAACCAUGUGUAUUCUUGUAAGAAUUUAUUUAUAUUCUUUUUUUUUUCAAACUGAAUCAUUGCAAACAAAAGGACUAUAUAAGGUAGUAUAUAUGAUUCUCAGUUGUAAUUAUAACAGUUCAAAAUAUGUCUAAUCACAUUAGUUUCGGUAGAUCUUCAACAAACUGAAAAUUACUAAUGUUUACAACGGAAUCUGUCUCAGCAAUAUGUAAUCUCCAUAUGCUUUUUUAGUUUUCAGAAACCUUGUAAUUUUUACAGAAUAAAGGAAUUUUACCAUUACGGGUGUAACAUCUAGUUAAACUCCGAUGUCGGAAUCUCAACGUUCUGACGGAAUCUCCGUCGAGAUCCAGAAUCUCGAAGCUAAAAUUUUUAGAAGGAUAAAAUAGAGUUUUCAUAAAAUGAAUUAAAAAUUUUUCUUGGUGUGUUUUAAAAAAAAAUAAAAAAUUUAGAGGAGUUUUAAAGUUCGGCCGCCGAAGACGGCUCUUCCAGCCACUUAUAAAAGGCCUUCAACCCAAAAAUAUGAGAACUCUUUCUCUAUUUUCGAGCAGAGGUAAGUCCAUGCCCUUUUCCAGACAUUCUUGCUAAAAUUACUUCAAAUCUCUUGGAGAAUACAUGAGUUUUUACUUCAUUUUUUAAGAUUUGAGUUUGGAUUUCAAGCUUUAAACUUUGGAGACCUCCGAAAAUCGAUUUCCCAAUUCUCCAAAUCUUGGUUGUUGUGUUUUCUAUGUUUUUCAAGAGGUAAGUUCAAUCUUUGCUUUUCUUAUGCUUUUUGAAGGUUUUAAACCGAUAUUAUAAGUUGUUAGGACAUGCAUGAUUGAUUAUUCUAAAGUUUUAAAGUUUGAGUUAGUUUUGAUGAUGGAUGAUUUUCUCCUGGGAUUUUGUUGAUGCAUGUUGAGUUUAGAACAGUUUUUGAGGUCUCUUAUGCGUGUUAAGUGUGUAUGGUAGUCUUUAGCCUGUUGCAUGUAAGUUUGGGUUUGUUUAUUGGCUAUGAGCAUAGGGCAAAAUCAGGUUCUGCCUUACUGGAGAUCCUAGGUUCAGCCGCUGAAGCAAGGUUCGGCCACCAAAUCUGUCUGUAGAGGCAGCCAUUUGGCCACCUAACCUGCCGCUGAAAGUCCUCUGUUCAGCCUUUUUCAGCUUGUUUCCUACGUGUGUUCUUGUAUGUUCUUAGGGGUUUUCUUGAGGGUAGUUUAAGUAUUGUAAUAGUUAUGUUUGGUUCCUCAUUUAAAUCCAUCUAUGUAGGAUCGGACUUUGGAGACUGUAGAGGCUUGCAGUGAGAUAACUGCUUCAGUACUAGGCGUGCAUCAGUCAAAGGUGAGUAGAACUGAACUGAUAUAUUAUUUUAAAGAAAUCAAACUUUUUAAGCAUACUCAUACAUCACGAAUGUCAUGUAUAUACGAUUAGGUUGUUUUGCAUUAGAGUUCACGAAUAUAAUACAUUGCAUAAAUUAUUGUUGUUGUGGAUGGACGUUGGAUGACCCACUAGCCCUCGAGUAUGUUAUGAUAUGUUAUGAUGGAUAUGGAAAGACUAGGGUUGCCUAUUCUACGCCUCUGGCACUAUGUAAGGGAAAGACCAGGGCUGCCCAUUCUAUGCCCCUUGCACUAUGGAUAUGUUAUGUUAUAUUUAAGAGGAAAACCUGAGGAGCACUCGUCGUGGGCCGAGCACUAUUGAAAUCUGUAGAGGGUUACUGAUGACAAGUCCAUUUUGAUGUAAAUUGUUUGUGCUGUGAUGCAUUCAUACAAUCAUAUAUUUUAUUGAACUGUUUUUUUAUGUUCUGCUCACUAGACUCUUAUAGUUUAUCCCCUUUCCCCUAAUCCCAGGUUUGCAGGAUCAAAGUUAGCUCGGGAAGUCGGCUGAGUUGCUGGUAUAGCCUAUUGUAAUAGUAUAGCUAUGGAAAUAUAUUCAUUUGUGGAUUAGAAUUGUGCUUUGCCCGGGUUCUUCCUUGUAAUCCUUGUUUCAUGAUCAUUUUAUAUAAAAGUUUUUAAGUAUAAGUUUAUGUUUAAAUCGAGCUUGAGGCAUGUUAUGUCACACCCAUUCUCAAAACUGUGGAGAUGGAUAUGACCCGAAAAACUGACAGAACUUCCCCUGUUGUUAAUACAUAUAACUCAUAUGACCUGCUAUAAUUUCAAAAUAUAAAACAUAUAAGAGAUGAUUGAUAGCUAGACUGGUCAAUACAUAAUAUAUUUACAAUAAACAAAACACGUUCAUCAUUUGAAUUUACAAUCUAUACAUAAUCUGUCAAAAUUACAAAAAGAAAAGACAAGACCUAGGAUUGGUCCGACCUCCUCUAGACUCUGAGUGGACGAUGUGGAAGGAAUAACAAACUAGGAGAUGAGGACUGCUGAGCGGAUCACCAAAAAAAAACUGAAUAUUAAAAGAAAUAAGAGUGAGUACAACAUAUUCAGUGAGUGGAUAAAUAAAUAACAAAGGGGAAAAGAUAAGUUUAGGUAAUUAAUAGUACCAAAUAUUUAGCUAAAAUAAGUCAGCUGAAUAAAUACAAUUUAAUUCCUAGGCCUGGGCCUUAUAUGUUAUGUUGACCAUACCGAAGCAUUUGAUGAGGGCUCUAGUAUAGGUUUUAUGUUUUCAGUUACGAUGCAUGCACAAGUCGAGUCUUGGUUCAUGUAAUAAUUAUAUUUUUGUUGUUUGUAUGAUCAUGCAUGGAAUUAUAUCAUAUGUAAUAGGAUGUAUAGUAUGCUUGCUGUGGGCUCCAGUGACCUUAAGUCGAUUUGAACCCUAGCACCGGUAGUGGUCUGGUUCCCGGGUCGUUACAGAGUGGUAUCAAAGCCCUAGAUUCAUAUGACUGGGCCUAGAGUGUUGGGCUCAUAGAUGUUAUAGAGGGCAAAUACAAUUAGGAAAUAUUAUAUCCACUAGGAUAGAAUGUAGAGUCUUGUCAUGAUAUAUGUGAUAACCUCCAGAUCUUUCCUAGCCCAGGAAUAAGGUCGGGUCCAAAAGAAGGCACAGGUCCAAAGCCCAUCAGAUCAUACGCUCGAGAGGCGGCUCGACUUCACGAGCCUGGGCCGGCAACCCAGGAUGAUCCGGAUCAGAUAUGAGCACAAGCCCCAUAAGGGAGUAGGCCCAAUCACUCACCAGCUCUACCCGCAUGCUCUCUGGAGAGCAUUAAAUGGCCGUUACGCAUGGAGCAGGUGCCUGACACGCCCGUAUGUACGGGCCUGAGUGACAAGGACAGGAAGCACUAUAUAUCGGGGGGUCUCCUCUUGCAAGGGGGAUCUUCUUCUUUUUCUUCUCCUGCCUGGACUCCAUUUUUAUUUUCUCUGCAACUCUUGCCUAGAUAUACUACUCUUAUUCAUGAAACCUGACUUGAACGUCGGAGGGUCUCCGCUGGGGCAUCCCGGUGGACCCUUGACCAUUUUUCCUUAUUUUGCAGGUCCCUUUCUCAGAUAGAACAUGGAGAGACCCAUUUGACAGAUUCGUCUGGGAGCCCAAGAAGGAAUCAGAUCCACAUAAGAGGGGGCGAGGGAGGACCAGAUCUAACAAAUAUGGAGCCCAGGGAGAUUUAAAGUUAUCAAUAUGUAUAAUGAUGUAUAAUGUCAUGACUAUAUACAUGUGCAUUGAUGAUAUGAUAGGUAUGAUGUGGGUUCAUGUGUAUCCACAUGAACCAUAUGAUGCUAAUGCCUAUAUGUUUAAAUGAUUUUUCAGAAGACAGAAUGCAUGGCUUAUGUCGAUCUGUACGAUUGACUAGAGUCCCAUCCGAAAAAUGAGGGUAUAGACGCCCUUCCUCCUGCUGCUCCGUCAAGAGUGCGGUCAAGUAGAAAUAACAAGAAUGAAAAGUCAAGAGACCCUAUAAUGUCUUUUAAUAUAAACAAAAAGAGAACAGAUCCGAGUAGGAUGUUUGCAGAUGCCAGAAAAACAGUAGGAAAUGAUUAGAGGAGAGAUAGAAGUUUGGGUAUGAGUUUUGAAGUAGAGGGUGUGGGAGAGUCUGAAAGAGGAACAGAAGGCGUCAGACCAUAGGAUCCGCCUAUCCACCUCAGUACCAACCCUAUGCACAGGAACUCGGGUAUCCGAUGGAAAGUACAACAGAUUACUCUAGCUACCACCCAUACCCCUCAUUCAUACCCUAUCCUCCUUGCUAUUCAUUAUAUCCACCCUACCCUAUCUUAUGUUUUCGCCUCCUCCCCAUUACUAGAAUUUGGCAAACUCUAACUCAGGAAAUGUUGCACCACCUCCUCCUCCAGCAAAACCAGCUAGAAAAAAGUUUUUAUACCCAGAUAGAAAAAAGUUUUUUCUUCAAACUAUAUCAUUCAUUUUAUUUUAUUUACAAUUUUAAUUAAAUCAGUUUUUGAUAAUUUUUCAAAAAAUUAAAUUUGAAAUAAAACAGAUAUUUUUUUUAAAAAUUUUAGGACAUUAAUAAUUUUUAACUUUGAUUAGCAAUUUAUAAUAUUAAACAUUAUACUUUUUAAUUAACAACAAUUCCAUUUAAUUUUCUAAGUUCAGUAAUUCUCUUUAUGGCCCUGAACUAUUUAAUAAGAUUGAUGAGGGUCAUAGCAAAAACCAAAUAAAUAAACUGGAUCAAUUUUGUAUAUAGAAUAUAAACAUACAACGUACAUCAUACAAAAGCUGAAACAAAAAUAUUAUAGGACUAAAACUCACUUCAAAUUUAAGCAUGCAUAUAUAUAACAUAUGAAUCAGACACUUAAGAACACAUAAAUGAUACUGAUCAAUGCAAAAGCUGAAGUCAUCACAGCGAGAUCAAACGUUGAAACCCUUGUGGUAUAAUUGCUUAAGGAUUGGUAGCUGAUUCAGGUUUGGUGUCUUUGGAAGGGAAUGUGGACUUUGGUAACUCAGGCAAGUGGGGAAAAGUUGGCAGUUCAGGUUUUGGCAACUCAGGCAAGUGGGGAAAAGCUGGCAGUUCAGGCUUUGGAAACUCAGGCAAUUCAGGUUUUGGCAGCGUGGGAAUUUCAGGCUUCGACAACUCAGGCAAUUCAGGUAAUUUUGGCAGAGUGGGAAGUUCAGGUUUAGGAAAGGUUGGGACUUCAGGUAAUGGUGGAAGCUCAACCUUAGGAAGUAAUGGCAAGUCAGGUAAUUCAGGCUUGGGAAGCUCCGGGACCUCAGGUAAUGUUGUCUCUAGAAGCUGCCGUGCUUCUGCAGAGAUUGACAGAGCAACGAGUGAGAGCAGAACAAUGAGUGAAGGGGAGCGAAGAUUGGCCAUAAUUAUGCAACAAGAUCAAUCAGCUGUAAAUAAAAUUUAUCCUCACUUUGUUUUGUGUGUGUUGAUGUUCACUUGUGUUGAGCUUUUAUAGAAGUGGGAAGUGAAGAAUGGGGAACUUACAAAGGUGAUUUAGUGGGAAAAGUUGUGUUAGCUCAACUUCCCACCCAUAAGACUCCCACUGUUGGCAUGACCAACUAUAGACUUCCUUACAAAUGUAACCUUGCUAUCUUUCUAUAUGGAGUCCAGAGAUUGGUUAGAUUGAUAAUAAGCUAAGAUAUGGUUCUCACUUGUAAUCAUUCUCAGAAAUCAGAACACUUGUGAAGUUCAAGAUUUUUCACCUAUUUAAUAAUUCACCUCUUUCUUGUUCUACCUACAAAAGAUGAGAAUCUGAAGAAUGGUUCUUCUUUAGUUACUUUAAAAUAAUGUUCAAUGAAGAUAGCCUCAUCUUCAAAGUUGGCCAACCUACACACUAAACUUUGACAUGUCUUUCUUUUCGUUGAAGCUCUGACUGAUCUUCACAUCCAAUUAUUCAAGUUAAUCUUCUAUUUGAAAUUAAGAAUUUUACUAAAAAUUAAUCCAAUUGAUUUCUUUUAUAUAGAUCUCUUGGUUGGAAUGAUAUUCAAUUUUUUUUUAACUUAUAAAAUUUUUAUAUUAAAAAAAUUAAAACUAUGUGUAAUCUUGUUAGAAUUUAUUUGUAUUAUUUUCUUUCAAACUGAAUCAUUGCAAACACAAGGACUAUAUGAGAGAGUAUAUAUAAAUCUCAGUUGUAAUUAUAACAGUUUAGAAUAUGUCUAAUCACAUUAGUUUUGGUAUAUCUUGAACAAACCGAAAAUUACUAAUGUUUAUAACGGAAUCUGUCUCAACAACAUCUAAUCUCGAUAUGCUUUUCCAAUUAAUCUCGAUAUGCUUUUCCAAUUUUCAGAAGCCUUAUAACUUUUACAGAAUAAAAGAAUUUUACCACGGAGAGUUCAUUUAAUCUUUGAUUUGAUUUGAGUAAAAAUAAAUAAAUUGAAUUAAAUCAAACCAAAUUUUGAAGAGUUCAAACUUAUUUUUUAAAUUUUUUUUAAGUUUGAGUUUCAUUUUGAACUUGAGCCAAGUAUUAAUAAGCUUAAAUUUGGCUCAUUUAGCAAACGAAUUUAGAUAAAUCGAAUUUUUAUCGAGUUUAGUUUUGAAUAAUUUACGAAAAGUUCAAUUUAUUUACAUAUAUAUAUAUAAUAAGAUUUAGUUGAAAACUAAUACGUUUAAAACUAAAUAAUUUUAGUUAAAUAAGUAUAUAUAUAAAUUAGCUUUUAAAAUUAUAAAGGAUGAGUUUUUAAAUUUUAAUGAUUCAAAUAUCUAUAAAUUUUAAAAGUAUAAUUAAACUAUGCAAGUUGAACUUUAAAAAACUUAGAUCUGAUUCAUGAAAAUAUAUACAAAGUAUAAUUUAGUUCUCUUAUAAUAUUACUUUCCGUAUGCUUAUUUGAGACCGUUUAUAAGUUUGUUCGCGAGCUUGCUCAUAAAUUCGAAAAUGAGCUGAAUUCGUGAGUCUUAAAGAGUCUAAUACAAAUGAAUCUGAAAAUUAAGUUCAAUCUUGAUUCAUUUAGAAAUCAAGUUGAGUUUGAUUGAACUUUUUAUCGAAUUGAACUUUCAAUAAUUCACGGACAAUUUAAUCCAUUUACACCACUAAUAGUUAUUUAGGGUCAGAUAUAAUUGCGCUCUAUAAUAGUAGAACUAAAGAGUUGGUUCUAUUAAUUACCACAGAGCCAAUCUAUUAUUGGUCGUUGAUAGAUGCGCAUUGUGGGAGUAACCCUAAUGGAAAAAUUAAUUGAUUGAAAGCUUACUUUGUAGUCAAUAAAUUACCACUAAAAUAUGAGCUUGAUUACAAUAAUAUUUUGACUCAAAUGGCUAAAAUUUUAUCAAUUCGUCUUCUUGUCUCCUUAACAACAUCCACAUCAUUGGCCUCUUUAUUGAAUAGAUAAAAAAAAUUACUUUUUAUACGAAGAACUUAUAAAGAAAGUUCUUAUAAAGCAAUCAUCAGACCAUCAGAGUUUGUUGCUGAGAGGAUCAGGCAUGGUAUGCCAUUUAUGACAAAUACCACACGGGUUAAAAGUAGCCUGUAAGGAUGUUGUUUGGAUAGUUUAGUAAUGGGAUCCAACAGAUUAGGAUGUGUAGGAGUGAAGCCUAAUGUGCCCCUUAUAUGGGUCAUAGGCAAUCCUCCCCCUUGAGCUAGCUUUUGGGGUGAGUUAGGCCUGGCCCAAAUUUAACUUGGUAUCAAAGCCUCCCCAUCCGAUGUUGGGCCUCCCAUAAAUGUGUCACGCACCAGUAAAAUUCUGGGCGUGAGGGGGGUAUGUUGAAUCCCACAUCGGUUGUGGAAAGGGGUAAUGUGCCCCUUAUAUGGGUCAUAUAUAUAUAUAUCAUUAAAUAAAGCAUAAUUCUUGUAUAGAUUGAGUCUAUACGGACAUGUAGUAUAAAUUAUAUGUGAUUUGUUAUAGCUGUCACUACUAUUUUAUAUUACAGUCUGAUGACUGCUGGAUUUCUUCACCCCGACCUAAAGGCCAGGCCCCUGAAAACAGUCCAUAAUCCGAAGGCUUCAAUAUUCCCCUCGAGAGCCAGGUCUAGCCCGCUCAGUCACAGGGCCGGACUCUGCCUAGACUCCUCAAUCAAGCCGGCCCAAACCUCUCGGCCCAAUAAUCAGGCCCUCACCAGGCUCAACUUCAGCCCUACCAUUCAACCCAGCCCAGAAAGAGGAAAAUGACUAACCUGCCCCGCUGAUGGGUCCUUCCGCAUGCGUAUCAGAGGAGAAUUAAUGGUCGUUACGCAUGGAGCAGGCGCCUGACACAUCCGUACAUACAGAGCUGGGCGGCAGAAGACAGCUAGCAUUGUGGCAGAGAGACAGAUAUAUAUAUUACAGUAGAGGCCACGCAAAAGAGGGGGCUCUCUCUUCUUCUUCCUUCUCCUUCCUGGACACCAUUUUUAUUCUUUCUGCAACCCUUGCCUAAAUAUACUACUCUGAGCCAUAAAAUCUGACUUGAGCGUCGGAGGGCCUCCACCGGGGCACCCCCGGUAGGCCCCUGACCAUUCUUUCUUAUUUUACAGGUCCUUUCACCAGGUAAAACAUGGAGAGAUCCAUCAGGGAGCCCAGCAAGAAGGGACCCAGAAGAAAACCAGAUCUAUCAUGGACCAGGAAGAGGAAAAAAUUUAUCACAGUCCAUAUAAAACCGGUGUAGAUAAGUUUUUGCCCUUCAAGGAAAAUUGGUAAAAGAAUAUAAUUAGUAAAUUCUUUCAAUUUUUAGUAUAUGGAAAAUAAUUAUCACCCAUGAUUGAAUUAUUGGACAACAUCAUCAAAGAGAACUCUAGCAAAGUCCUUUCGUAUUUUCAUAUUUUCACUCUGUACCGAAUAAUUUUUGUUUUUUUUUUUUAAAUGAGAAUUGGAGAUUAGGAGAGUAGAACCUAAGCUUGUAAAUGCAGAUUGAAUAGUCUUAUAAUUGAAAUAUCUAAAUAAAAUCAUAAACAAAAUGAAUUUUAACUCAGAUCUUAACAAAUUAAUAUAAUAAUCUCAAUUUGAUCUAGUGUAUCUUUUGAUUUACAGUUUUUUAAGUCAAAUGUCAAUGAUAAAUUUAAAAUUUUAGUAGUUUUUUUCUCGUAACUCUAUUCCUAUUAUUAGAAUCUCUCUUUUACCGAAAAAUUCUUCAUAGUUAUGGAGGAAAAAUUUUUCUUUUUCUUGAAAAACUUAUCAUUUAUUUUAUUUUAUUUAUAAUUUUAAUUAAAUCGGUUGUUCAUAAUUUUUCAAAAAUUUAGAUUUGAAAUAAAAUAUAUUUUUUUUAAUUUUAGGCCAUCAGUAAUUUUUAAGUUCAGUGACUCAUAAUAUUAAAUUUAUAUUUUUUUAAUUCACAACAAUAUUUUAAUUUUUAAGUUCUGUAAAUUCUUGUGGCUCUGUGUGAAUGUGCUUGGAUCAUGAACUAUCAAUAAGAUUCAUCACAAUCAUACCCAAGAUCAAGAUCAAAUAAAUAAGCUGAUCAACUCUGCAAAUAGAAUAUAAACUGUACAUCAUACAAAUAUUUGAAAUAUAAAGAUUACAGGACUAACAUCCACUCCAAAUUUAAUCAUAUAUAUAUGUAAUCAAUGAUACUGAUCAAUGCGAAAGAUGAAGUCAUCACUGUGAGAUCAAACAUCGAAACAUUUAUGGUAUAGUUGUUUAAGGACUGGGAGUUGAUUGAGGAGGUUUUGUGUCCUUGGCAAGGAAUGUGGGCUUUGGUAACUCUGGCAAGUGGGGAAAAGUUGGCAGUUCAGGUUUUGGUAACUCAGGCAAUUCAAGUUUUGGCAAAGUGGGAAUUUCAGGCUUUGGCAACUCAGGCAAUUCAGGUUUUGGCAGUGUGGGAAGUUCAGGCUUAGGGAAGGCUGGGACUUCUGGUAAUGGUGGAAGCUCAACCUUAGGCAGUGAAGGCAAUUCAGGCUUGGGAAGCUCAGAUACCUCAGGCAAUGCUGUUUUUAGAAGGUGUCGUGCAUCUACGGAUUGACAGAGUGAUAAGUGAGAGCAUAAUGAUGAGGGAAGGGGAGCGAUGAUCGGCCAAAAUGCGACAAGAUCAACCACCUGCAAAGUGAAUAGUAAUUAAAAUUUCUGGACAAUUUUG